AUGGUUUUUUUUUGUCCCACCACUUUUGUCCGGUUUUUUUCCGUCCCCUCCUCCCUCUUGCACGCACGAAAUAAAUCUGUAUCACCACGCACGAAACCGAGGCAAUCCAUACAAGGCCGCUCCCCUCGAUCGCAUCCAUCAUACAACCUCGCCGCCGCCAACGAGGUACGGGAUCACCGCCGCCGAGCCGAGGCACGGAUCGCAGCCGCCGAGCGAUCUUCCUCAAUCUUUUGUCUAGGGUUCCCCGCCUCCGCCGUCGAUGGCGACGGCGCCAUCCCGGAACCUCGGGGCAGGUCAGGACUCCAGGCAGGUCGUGCUUGUGUGGAGUCGCCGCACUCCGCACGCCGCUGCCGCCGCCGCUGAUCCCUACGGACGAAGCCGUCCAACGAACGGCCGCUGCAGGCGCCACAACAGCAGCUCGUUACCGAAAUAUCAGGGGCGCAGAUGAUGUACAUGAUCAUCUCGUCCAUGCCAUGGAACAAAGCCACCUGCUUGAUUAGCUCCAAACAGAGGUAAGGCUUGAUGCCCCGCUGGAUCAACUAUUUUUACAAUAUUGUUGUGACUUUGUAAUGACUGUAGCCCAUUUUUUCUUCAUUGUUCUUUGGUCCUUUUUGGGAGAUUCAACAAAUUUCUUCCAAAUUAUCACAAAUGGAGAUGUUUGUCUGAACCAUUAUGUAAAAGAAUUGAAAUCACUGACAUAUUAAAUUCAGCCAUAAUUGCAUGAACGAGUGAGUGCUGAGUAGCAAAGCCAAUUUUUGCCAGUUCAGAUAUCUAGCAACAUAAUAAUAAGACCACUAAAACCAAUAAUGGUACUAUAUGUCUUACAAAUUAAUUUACCCGUACAACGGAUUGAGGCAGUAGAUUACAGAGGCCUGCAUCAUGAUGGCCCUUUUCAUGUCAGUUAUCUUGGACCAGUAAAAGGUAACCGCAUCGUUCUUACAAUUUUUUGGACUAUUAAUAUUUUCCCUGUCUCAGCCAACCAAAAGAUACUUUCAUGCAGCUAUUUCUAAUUUAAUUUAAACCAAGAUGACUUUCACCAGUCCCUUUUUUUUAGUUUUCAUGCAUUUAUCAAGGCGCUACUUUGUUACUUGGAAUGAUAAAAUAGCUACAAUAGAUAUGCUGAUUUUGUGUUUGAAUCAGUGUGUACUGUUAUGAUGAGUGCCUCUUUUAUUUGCCAAGCUCCAAUGGCUUACCAAGAUGUGGCUUUUUUCAUUGACCAGUCAAUGUAUUGUUUCUCCGGCUCGUGAACUGAGAGGACCUUCGUUCAAGUAUUAUGGAAGCUCAACCGGGUACUUUCGGAGUCGACUGAUUAAAAGCUAGACACUGAUUCUUUUUAUUUCGUAAUUUACUUUGUUGUGAUCCCAACAAUUUGUUUUUAUUUCAAAAUUGGUAUUAAUCUUGGCAUAGGAAACUCGUAUGCUGCUGUGACCAUAAUUUGAAGUGACAUUGUGCUCAAUCAACCAUUAUUUGGCUCCGCUGAACGUAAUUGCAGGGUGUAAGCUCUUCUAUUCUCGCAACAGUUAGUCCUAAAGGACCAAAGGUCCUUUAAAUAUGUUGAAAUAUUAAUACGAAUGUAGCAUCAAUGGCAUUAAAAUGGAAUAUGAAAUCGGGUAAUUCGAUAUUGGUGUAUUUGUAGAUAGGUUUCUCAUCUGUGAUUUUUUCGCAUAUAGUUUGCUGCUUUAUAAACUUGUAUAACUAUGCACUGUUGUGAUGUCAGUUAUGAAAGUCGUUUCUGGUGCAGAUGAAGAACAGUUCCUAAAUAUCAUCAUUGCACCUAACAACAAAGUGCAUUUCUCCGUUGAUCUCUUCUUACAUCACGAAGCAUUUCUAUGUUUCAUGUAUACAUAUUGAUAUAUUUUAUCUGUGCAUUUGUAGGACUGAAGGUGCCUCCAUAUUUUGAAGUACUUAAAUCCAGCGUGCAACAACCAAUGUCAUAUCACGUGGUCAGCAGGGAAGGGUAGCAUGGUGACAAGACAACCAUCAUCGGCAAUGGACGACUGAGCAGAGGAUUGGCUCAAUGUAGAUGCAGAAUCGAGAGGAGACCUAAACAAGCUUCUUCUCAGUUCAGAAAAAAAAAAUCAUUUCUGGCAUAACCUGGUAAUCCCACUCAAGGAGGAGCAGUAUCACUUAACCUGUUCAUAUUACCCCCAUAUGAAUUAUCAUCCUCAAUGACCCCUCCAGGGAAGGAUUCUGAUCAAGAAUCACUGUUGCUGGAGGUUCCUCGCAAUGGACGGCACCGAUAGGCAAAACUUCUUUGUUACCCACACCAUCUCUACAAUAAGAGGGCGUGCAUAUGGAAAAAGAAGGAUAUGAUGAUCUACUUAUCGGCUCCUAGGAAUGAAGGACUGUUUUUCUUUCUUUAAGUGCUUAUCAGGUAAAUAUUUGUCCACACGGUAAUAGAAAUCAUAUGGUGUCAAGUGAUGGGGAACUUUGCUGGUUUACUACAUGAUGGCUCGGGGCCAUGCUUGAUGCUCGUGCCAUGGGACACAUUACAAGCCCCCUCACACACCCUGACGAGAAGGGCGGCAAGACAACAACUGCUUGCUGAUUUUUAUUGUUGCAUAAAUAUGCUUUAUUGUUACGGUGCUUGUCGCUGAGGUGGAGAUGGAAAGAACCAAUCUUAGUUUACAGUUGUGUGAGAAUUAUUAGUCUGCACAUUGAUUACUAUUUUCUAUCCUUUGGUGAAA